rnacentral:lncRNA from 1 species
GAAUUUGGCGACGAUCUUUUAAGCAAUUGUGGGAAUUGCUUUGGGCGGUUGUGGAGGGUUGAUGGAUGGCUGUGGAAGGGCAGUGAGAUGCCAAGAAUGUUGCUCUGAUACCAGGUGCUAGAACCCUUGCAGAUUCUAAACUUGGGGUUGAUCUCUUUAGGGGAUCGGCCUCCUUGGAACUCUAUAGGGGUUCCUCCCUCCAAG